AACGAACGCUGGCGGCAGGCUUAACACAUGCAAGUCGAACGGGCACCUUCGGGUGUCAGUGGCAGACAGGUGAGUAACGCGUGGGAACGUACCCUUCGGUUCGGAAUAACCCAGGGAAACUUGGGCUAACACCGGAUACGUCCGCAAGGAGAAAGAUUUAUCGCCGAAGGAUCGGCCCGCGUCGGGAUUAGCUAGUUGGUGGGGUAAUGGCCCACCAAGGCGACGAUCCGUAGCUGGUCUGAGGAGGAUGAUCAGCCACACUGGGACUGAGACACGG
rnacentral:rRNA from 1 species